UACGAAGGGUGCAAACGUUGCUCGGAAUUAUUGGGCGUAAAGCGCACGUAGGCGGCAUUGCAAGUCGGAUGUGAAAUCCCUCGGCUUAACCAAGGAAGUGCAUCCGAAACUGCAGUGCUUGAGUACUUAAGAGGAUCGCGGAAUUCCCGGUGUAGAGGUGAAAUUCGUAGAUAUCGGGAGGAACACCAGUGGCGAAGGCGGCGACCUGGGCCAAUACUGACGCUGAGGUGCGAAAGCGUGGGGAGCAAACAGG
rnacentral:rRNA from 1 species